rnacentral:rRNA from 1 species
AUUGAACGCUGGCGGCAUGCUUUACACAUGCAAGUCGAACGGCAGCACGGGGGCGAACCCUCGGUGGCGAGUGGCGAACGGGUAGAGUAACACAUCGGAACGUGUCCAGUUGUGGGGGAGUAACCCAUCGAAAGGUGGGCUAAUACCGCAUGAGCUGGCAACAGGAAAGCGGGGACCCGCAAGGGCCUUGUGCGAUUGGAGCGGCCGAUGUCCGAUUAGCUAGUUGGUGGGGAAAGGCCUACCAAGGCUUCGAUCGGUAGCUGGUCUGAGAGGAUGAUCAGCCACACUGGGACUGAGACACGGCCCA